rnacentral:rRNA from 1 species
AGAGUUUGAUCAUGGCUCAGAACGAACGCUGGCGGCAUGCCUAACACAUGCAAGUCGAACGCUCACCGGGGUUUCGGCUCUGGUGGGAGUGGCGCACGGGUGAGUAGCGCGUGGGAACCUGCCCUUUUGUGGGGGAUAACCGAGGGAAACUUCGGCUAAUACCGCAUGCGCCCCUGGGGCGACCUGGAGGGAAAGAUUUAUCGCAGGAGGAGGGGCCCGCGUCGGAUUAGGUAGUUGGUGGGGUAACGGCCUACCAAGCCGAUGAUCCGUAGCUGGUCUGAGAGGAUGAUCAGCCACACUGGGACUGAGACACGGCCCAGACUCCUACGGGAGGCAGCAGUGGGGAAUAUUGGACAAUGGGCGCAAGCCUGAUCCAGCAAUGCCGCGUGAGUGAUGAAGGCCUUCGGGUUGUAAAGCUCUUUCGCCCGCGACGAUGAUGACGGUAGCGGGAGAAGAAGCCCCGGCUAACUUCGUGCCAGCAGCCGCGGUAAUACGAAGGGGGCGAGCGUUGCUCGGAAUCACUGGGCGUAAAGGGCGCGUAGGCGGCUCUGUUUGUCGCGUGUGAAAGCCCCGGGCUCAACCUGGGAGGUGCGCGCGAGACGGCGGGGCUGGAGUUCGGGAGAGGAGCGUGGAAUUCCCAGUGUAGAGGUGAAAUUCGUAGAUAUUGGGAAGAACACCGGUGGCGAAAGCGGCGCUCUGGACCGAGACUGACGCUGAGCGCGAAAGCGUGGGGAGCAAACAGGAUUAGAUACCCUGGUAGUCCCGCCGUAAACGAUGUGUGCUAGACGUUGGGAGGCCUAGCCUCUCGGUGUCGCAGCUAACGCGUAAGCACCCCGCUGGGGAGUACGGCCGCAAGGUUAAAACUCAAAGGAAUUGACGGGGCCCGCACAA